AAAGCGGGGGGGCAGCCCUGAGGUGGGCAGGGCUGCAGGGGAAGAGCAGAGCGCUAGGUUUAAACGAGAGAAGGGAGGGACGGCCAAGGAGGUGGGGGAUGCGCUGCGCUGGGCUGAUGCCCCGAGUAUUUGCUGUCUCUUUAAAAAUCCCAACAGAGCAUAUGAGUUAUCAGAAAAUGGAUGAAUGAGUACCCUCUAGAGGUAGAGUUCAGUUGGGAAAAAUUCCAAGAUACAGAGAAGAGGUAUCAGUGAACAUAAACAAUACUGCUGUGCGGAGAAGAGAGUUGGGAUUACUCAAGGCUCAUGUAAAUACAUACAUUCUGCACUAUCAUCCCAAUGUCAGCCAGACGGGCACAGCUGCAUCCUGGAGAAGUACUUCGAGCAAGCACUGCAAGGCAUGUGAUUCAGCAACUGCAGUUUUCUCACCUGCAGACACACUGGAAUAUAUUGCAUUGAUAAGAUGAGAUGAAUAUGAUCCAGAGGUCUGGGAAUUUUCUACCUAUAUUUUUCUGCUGUGAAGAGCUAGACAUUUCUUGUCGGGGCUUCAGAUACUCUUGGUUAGAGCCCCACGUACAGAGUUGCCUGCCUGCCGCAAUCCUGUUUACAAAGAAGGCGAAUUUUAGGUACAAGGAAAUGGAAAAAAACCCCAAAGUUGAGAAGCCCUAGAAUAUGACUUUGGUGAUGACCCUUGCAAAAACUGGGUUGUUAGACAAAUCUGCACAGGAUGCUGUUCCUCUGGAUAUUCUGGGAAUGAAAUUCAAAAGACCUGUUUAGCAGUGGGUCCAGGGUUGUCCUCACAACAGACGACUUCAAGUAGCUGGAACAUCAGUUCAGGAAAAGCUGGCUUCCGUGACAUCUGUUAUAUGACUGAAACUAUGAAUUUCAUCCAUUACUUCCAACAUCUUGGCUUUGUGUAGAUGG